ensembl:snRNA U7 U7 small nuclear RNA
GAGAGAGCACAGCUCUUCAAGAAUUUUUUCUAACAGGAUUUCUGAUUUUAGUCAGAAAAUCCAUG